rnacentral:rRNA from 1 species
ACGGGAGGCAGCAGUGGGGAAUAUUGGACAAUGGGGGAAACCCUGAUCCAGCGACGCCGCGUGAGUGAAGAAGUAUUUCGGUAUGUAAAGCUCUAUCAGCAAGGAAGAAAAUGACGGUACUUGACUAAGAAGCUCCGGCUAAAUACGUGCCAGCAGCCGCGGUAAUACGUAUGGAGCAAGCGUUAUCCGGAUUUACUGGGUGUAAAGGGAGCGUAGGCGGCCAGACAAGUCAGAUGUGAAAACCCGGGGCUCAACUCCGGGACUGCAUUUGAAACUGCCAGGCUUGAGUGCAGGAGAGGCAAGUGGAAUUCCUAGUGUAGCGGUGAAAUGCGUAGAUAUUAGGAAGAACACCAGUGGCGAAGGCGACUUGCUGGACUGAGACUGACGCUGAGGCUCGAAAGCGUGGGGAGCAAACAGGAUUAGAUACCCUGGUA